rnacentral:rRNA from 2 species
UUAAGCGACUAAGCGUACACGGUGGAUGCCCUGGCAGUCAGAGGCGAUGAAGGACGUGCUAAUCUGCGAUAAGCGUCGGUGAGGUGAUAUGAACCGUUAUAACCGGCGAUUUCCGAAUGGGGAAACCCAGUGUGUUUCGUCACACUAUCAUUAACUGAAUCCAUAGGUUAAUGAGGCGAACCGGGGGAACUGAAACAUCUAAGUACCCCGAGGAAAAGAAAUCAACCGAGAUUCCCCCAGUAGCGGCGAGCGAACGGGGAGGAGCCCAGAGCCUGAAUCAGUGUGUGUGUUAGUGGAAGCGUCUGGAAAGGCGCGCGAUACAGGGUGACAGCCCCGUACACAAAAAUGCACAUACUGUGAGCUCGAUGAGUAGGGCGGGACACGUGGUAUCCUGUCUGAAUAUGGGGGGACCAUCCUCCAAGGCUAAAUACUCCUGACUGACCGAUAGUGAACCAGUACCGUGAGGGAAAGGCGAAAAGAACCCCGGCGAGGGGAGUGAAAAAGAACCUGAAACCGUGUACGUACAAGCAGUGGGAGCCUCUUAAUGGGGUGACUGCGUACCUUUUGUAUAAUGGGUCAGCGACUUAUAUUCUGUAGCAAGGUUAACCGAAUAGGGGAGCCGAAGGGAAACCGAGUCUUAACUGGGCGUUAAGUUGCAGGGUAUAGACCCGAAACCCGGUGAUCUAGCCAUGGGCAGGUUGAAGGUUGGGUAACACUAACUGGAGGACCGAACCGACUAAUGUUGAAAAAUUAGCGGAUGACUUGUGGCUGGGGGUGAAAGGCCAAUCAAACCGGGAGAUAGCUGGUUCUCCCCGAAAGCUAUUUAGGUAGCGCCUCGUGAAUUCAUCUCCGGGGGUAGAGCACUGUUUCGGCAAGGGGGUCAUCCCGACUUACCAACCCGAUGCAAACUGCGAAUACCGGAGAAUGUUAUCACGGGAGACACACGGCGGGUGCUAACGUCCGUCGUGAAGAGGGAAACAACCCAGACCGCCAGCUAAGGUCCCAAAGUCAUGGUUAAGUGGGAAACGAUGUGGGAAGGCCCAGACAGCCAGGAUGUUGGCUUAGAAGCAGCCAUCAUUUAAAGAAAGCGUAAUAGCUCACUGGUCGAGUCGGCCUGCGCGGAAGAUGUAACGGGGCUAAACCAUGCACCGAAGCUGCGGCAGCGACGCUUAUGCGUUGUUGGGUAGGGGAGCGUUCUGUAAGCCUGUGAAGGUGGCCUGUGAGGGUUGCUGGAGGUAUCAGAAGUGCGAAUGCUGACAUAAGUAACGAUAAAGCGGGUGAAAAGCCCGCUCGCCGGAAGACCAAGGGUUCCUGUCCAACGUUAAUCGGGGCAGGGUGAGUCGACCCCUAAGGCGAGGCCGAAAGGCGUAGUCGAUGGGAAACAGGUUAAUAUUCCUGUACUUGGUGUUACUGCGAAGGGGGGACGGAGAAGGCUAUGUUGGCCGGGCGACGGUUGUCCCGGUUUAAGCGUGUAGGCUGGUUUUCCAGGCAAAUCCGGAAAAUCAAGGCUGAGGCGUGAUGACGAGGCACUACGGUGCUGAAGCGACAAAUGCCCUGCUUCCAGGAAAAGCCUCUAAGCAUCAGGUAACAUUAAAUCGUACCCCAAACCGACACAGGUGGUCAGGUAGAGAAUACCAAGGCGCUUGAGAGAACUCGGGUGAAGGAACUAGGCAAAAUGGUGCCGUAACUUCGGGAGAAGGCACGCUGAUAUGUAGGUGAAGCGACUUGCUCGUGGAGCUGAAAUCAGUCGAAGAUACCAGCUGGCUGCAACUGUUUAUUAAAAACACAGCACUGUGCAAACACGAAAGUGGACGUAUACGGUGUGACGCCUGCCCGGUGCCGGAAGGUUAAUUGAUGGGGUUAGCGGUAACGCGAAGCUCUUGAUCGAAGCCCCGGUAAACGGCGGCCGUAACUAUAACGGUCCUAAGGUAGCGAAAUUCCUUGUCGGGUAAGUUCCGACCUGCACGAAUGGCGUAAUGAUGGCCAGGCUGUCUCCACCCGAGACUCAGUGAAAUUGAACUCGCUGUGAAGAUGCAGUGUACCCGCGGCAAGACGGAAAGACCCCGUGAACCUUUACUAUAGCUUGACACUGAACAUUGAGCCUUGAUGUGUAGGAUAGGUGGGAGGCUUUGAAGUGUGGACGCCAGUCUGCAUGGAGCCGACCUUGAAAUACCACCCUUUAAUGUUUGAUGUUCUAACGUGGGCCCCUUACCGGGGUUGCGGACAGUGUCUGGUGGGUAGUUUGACUGGGGCGGUCUCCUCCUAAAGAGUAACGGAGGAGCACGAAGGUUGGCUAAUCCUGGUCGGACAUCAGGAGGUUAGUGCAAUGGCAUAAGCCAGCUUGACUGCGAGCGUGACGGCGCGAGCAGGUGCGAAAGCAGAUCAUAGUGAUCCGGUGGUUCUGAAUGGAAGGGCCAUCGCUCAACGGAUAAAAGGUACUCCGGGGAUAACAGGCUGAUACCGCCCAAGAGUUCAUAUCGACGGCGGUGUUUGGCACCUCGAUGUCGGCUCAUCACAUCCUGGGGCUGAAGUAGGUCCCAAGGGUAUGGCUGUUCGCCAUUUAAAGUGGUACGCGAGCUGGGUUUAGAACGUCGUGAGACAGUUCGGUCCCUAUCUGCCGUGGGCGCUGGAGAACUGAGGGGGGCUGCUCCUAGUACGAGAGGACCGGAGUGGACGCAUCACUGGUGUUCGGGUUGUCAUGCCAAUGGCACUGCCCGGUAGCUAAAUGCGGAAGAGAUAAGUGCUGAAAGCAUCUAAGCACGAAACUUGCCCCGAGAUGAGUUCUCCCUGACUCCUUGAGAGUCCUGAAGGAACGUUGAAGACGACGACGUUGAUAGGCCGGGUGUGUAAGCGCAGCGAUGCGUUGAGCUAACCGGUACUAAUGAACCGUGAGGCUUAACCUU